rnacentral:lncRNA from 1 species
CUUCUUGCCCUCCGAUUUACCUUGCCCACUCCUGUUGCUAGGCGGCUUUUUCUGCCCCCAACCUUUGCGGUUGUUUCCCUUGUCCCUGCGACUCUCUCCCUCACCUUUGCCUUGAUUGGCCUUUUUGUCUUUAGAUUGGGUAAAGUAUUCAGUGAGCGAUUCCGCAACGGCAAUGGCAUCGUCGAGCGUUUGAACGCCACGCCUAUCAAGCUCGGUCUUGGCCCAAUCC